rnacentral:rRNA from 1 species
GACGGAGGAUGCAAGCGUUAUCCGGAAUGAUUGGGCGUAAAGCGUCCGCAGGUGGCAGUUCAAGUCUGCUGUCAAAGACCGGGGCUUAACUUCGGAAAGGCAGUGGAAACUGAACAGCUAGAGUAUGGUAGGGGCAGAGGGAAUUCCUGGUGUAGCGGUGAAAUGCGUAGAUAUCAGGAGGAACACCUGCGGUGUAGACGGCUUACUGGACGGUAACUGACGCUGAGGCACGAAAGCGUGGGUAGCAAACAGG